rnacentral:SRP_RNA from 2 species
GCCAGGCGUGGUGGCGCAUGCCUGUAAUCCCAGCUACUUAGGAGGCUGAGACAGGAGAAUCGCUUGAACCCGGGAGGCGGAGGUUGUAGUGAGCCGAGAUUGCGCUAUUGUACUCCAGCCUGGGUGACAGAGCGAGACUCAGUCUCAA